AACGAACGCUGGCGGCAUGCCUAACACAUGCAAGUCGAACGAGACCUUCGGGUCUAGUGGCGCACGGGUGCGUAACGCGUGGGAAUCUGCCCUUGGGUUCGGAACAACAGUUAGAAAUGGCUGCUAAUACCGGAUGAUGACGUAAGUCCAAAGAUUUAUCGCCCAAGGAUGAGCCCGCGUAAGAUUAGGUAGUUGGUGGGGUAAAGGCCUACCAAGCCGACGAUCUUUAGCUGGUCUGAGAGGAUGAUCAGCCACACUGGGACUGAGACACGGCCCAGACUCCCACGGGAGGCAGCAGUGGGGAAUAUUGGACAAUGGGCGAAAGCUUGAUCCAGCAAUGCCGCGUGAGUGAUGAAGGCCUUAGGGUUGUAAAGCUCUUUUACCAGGGAUGAUAAUGACAGUACCUGGAGAAUAAGCUCCGGCUAACUCCGUGCCAGCCGCCGCAGUAA
rnacentral:rRNA from 1 species